rnacentral:rRNA from 1 species
GUGCCAGCAGCCGCGGUAAUACGUAGGGUACGAGCGUUGUCCGGAAUUAUUGGGCGUAAAGAGCUCGUAGGUGGUUGGUCACGUCUGCUGUGGAAACGCAACGCUUAACGUUGCGCGUGCAGUGAGUACGGGCUGACUAGAGUGCAGUAGGGGAGUCUGGAAUUCCUGGUGUAGCGGUGAAAUGCGCAGAUAUCAGGAGGAACACCGGUGGCGAAGGCGGGACUCUGGGCUGUAACUGACACUGAGGAGCGAAAGCAUGGGGAGCGAACAGGAUUAGAUACCCUGGUAGUCCAUGCCGUAAACGCUGGGCACUAGGUGUGGGGGACAUUCCACGUUUUCCGCGCCGUAGCUAACGCAUUAAGUGCCCCGCCUGGGGAGUACGGCCGCAAGGCUAAAACUCAAAGGAAUUGACGGGGGCCCGCACAAGCGGCGGAGCAUGCGGAUUAAUUCGAUGCAACGCGAAGAACCUUACCAAGGCUUGACAUACACCAGAUCGUCACGGAAAUGUGGUUUCCUCCUUGUGGGGUUGGUGUACAGGUGGUGCAUGGUUGUC